AUGCGUAGGGGGCGAGCGUUGUCCGGAAUGAUUGGGCGUAAAGGGCGCGUAGGCGGCGCGGUAAGUCUGGAGUGAAAGUCCUGCUUUCAAGGUGGGAAUUGCUUUGGAUACUGCCGCGCUUGAGUGCAGGAGAGGUUAUCGGAAUUCCCGGUGUAGCGGUGAAAUGCGUAGAGAUCGGGAGGAACACCAGUGGCGAAGGCGGGUAACGGGACGGCAACUGACGCUGGGGCGCGAAAGUGGGGGGAGCAAACAGGAUUAGAUCCCCUGGGAGCCCACGCCGUAAACGAUGGGCGCUCGUCGUCGGCGGCAGACAGUCGGCGGCCAAGCGAAAGCGAUAAGCGCCCCACCUGGGGAGUACGGCCGCAAGGUUGAAACUCAAAUGAAUUGACGGGG
rnacentral:rRNA from 1 species